rnacentral:rRNA from 1 species
AGCGAACGCUGGCGGUAGGCCUAACACAUGCAAGUCGAACGGCAGCACAGAGGAGCUUGCUCCUUGGGUGGCGAGUGGCGGACGGGUGAGGAAUACAUCGGAAUCUACUCUGUCGUGGGGGAUAACGUAGGGAAACUUACGCUAAUACCGCAUACGACCUACGGGUGAAAGCAGGGGAUCUUCGGACCUUGCGCGAUUGAAUGAGCCGAUGUCGGAUUAGCUAGUUGGCGGGGUAAAGGCCCACCAAGGCGACGAUCCGUAGCUGGUCUGAGAGGAGGAUCAGCCACACUGGAACUGAGGCACGGUCCAGACUCCUACGGGAGGCAGCAGUGGGGAAUAUUGGACAAUGGGCGCAAGCCUGAUCCAGCCAUACCGCGUGGGUGAAGAAGGCCUUCGGGUUGUAAAGCCCUUUUGUUGGGAAAGAAAUCCAUCUGGUUAAUACCCGGGUGGGAUGACGGUACCCAAAGAAUAAGCACCGGCUAACUUCGUGCCAGCAGCCGCCGUAA